GACGACAGAACCUGCAAAACAAGAGACAGGGGCAUCUGAAGGGGCAGGGAAAGAGCCUGAGUCUUCGCAGACUCCCAGCCUCCCUGGCUCGGGAAGCAGGCCACAAAAUGACUGCUGUGGUUCCAGACAUUACACUCUCACUUAAAGAUAAGGCAGUGAGAAGAGGAUGUCUUCUUCAGAGGCUUCAUCAUCUGUCCAUGGCAUGUGGUUCCUCGCAAAACUUUCCCGAAGAUGUUCUUCACUUUCCCUGGGCAGGCUGGGACAUAGCUGACUUGGAAUCGUGCCCGCCCCCCGGGUCAGCAUGAGCACACAGAAGAGUUGAGCCACACUGCCUGGCGUGAGACUGUGAGCUCCACUAGUUUAUGACUGAGGAGAUUUGCUAUUUAAUGUCACCCAAACAAGCCCAAAGAUCCUUGGCCUUAUUAGGUGUAACAGGAAGUCUGUCCGAAGCCUGAUGCCCUCAGCAGAUUUCCCCUCUGAAGUCCCACUUCAUGACACCAACAGUGAAAUUUCGUCCAGGCAGAGGGGUAUGGGUGAGUUUGUCUCUCUACUCCCCUGCUGAGUGGCCUGAAAUACAUCUUACCUGGGCCUCUACCUGCAGUGUGUGCUUUUCACAGGGCAAGUGUGAAACAAGGUGCGUGCAUGUGUAUGGAGGUGGGAUCUGUCUGUGUGGGGAGAAGGGUCCCUGCCCUGAGUUUUCGUACUCUAGUUGAUUUAGUCCAUCUCUGAACGGCCCCAUUUCCAAGAAGAUCCAGAAGAGUCCAGACCAGUCUCUCAGCUUGGAAAGUAGUAUUUCUACAUUUUGGUGACCUUAUGAAUUCACAGUACUCACGUGCACAUGCACACACACACACACACACA